GUUGUAUGGUUAAGUGACUAAGCGUACAUGGUGGAUGCCUUGGCAGUCAGAGGCGAUGAAGGACGUACUAACCUGCGAUAAGCUGUGAGAAGUCGGUAAGAGACGCUAUUACUCACAGAUUUCCGAAUGGGGAAACCCACCCAAGAUAACUUGGGUAUCGUUACAUGAAUACAUAGUGUAACGAGGCGAACCGGGAGAACU
rnacentral:rRNA from 1 species